AGAACCUCGGUGUAAGAGGCAAGAGUCGUCCGCGACUGGACCUAACGGUCUGGGGUCCCUUUACCUCCCCUCAACAUAGGAUUCUGUAACUAAAACCCUCAACAUGGAAUCUUUGCUGUAGAAACAUACUACUAGGUGUGCUGUUGAACCAUCAUUUUAUAUAUAGAGAGAGGCAUUGUAGGGAAAUCUUCAGGUGUUUGCAAGGCAGAUUUUAACUUUUUAUAUGGUUCUUAGCACAUGGUUUUAUGUGCAAUUGUUGUAAACUGCUCCAAUAUUUUUUAUGGGUGUUUGCUGUUGUGCCACACCUACUGGAGUGAGUAAAAUUUAGUGCAGCGUGCCAAUAUAUUGGUCAAAUGCCACAGUUCAGGACUGUCAGAAAAUGGGGCAGAAGUUCUAGCAUUAUACUGUGAUCCGGAAAACUCACACAAUACUGCCCCAUCUGAAUGCACCCUUCAAGUCCGGGGCGCCCCACCCUUUUUUGCCCCCAACAUGACUGUUGUCUGCCAGGCGCUCAAAAAGAUGAGUCGGACCAUUUCCAAGCAAUCCAAAGUUCACGGGUGGAGUCGUAUCUCCAACACUUAACAGGUACUUCUAAAUUUUAUGUAAGUCUGCUUACAUAUUACAUACAUGGAAGGGAGCCAAGUGGGCUCUGCCUGUUGAGAAAUGUGAAUUUUCUGCUUGAAGACUGC